rnacentral:rRNA from 1 species
UGGGGAAUAUUGAACAAUGGGCGCAAGCCUGAUCCAGCCAUGCCGCGUGAGUGAUGAAGGCCUUAGGGUUGUAAAGCUCUUUCGGCGGGGACGAUAAUGACGGUACCCGCAGAAGAAGCCCCGGCUAACUUCGUGCCAGCAGCCGCGGUAAUACGAAGGGGGCUAGCGUUGCUCGGAAUCACUGGGCGUAAAGGGCGCGUAGGCGGACAUUUAAGUCGGGGGUGAAAGCCCAGGGCUCAACCCUGGAAUUGCCUCCGAUACUGGGUGUCUCGAGACCGGAAGAGGUGAGUGGAACUGCGAGUGUAGAGGUGAAAUUCGUAGAUAUUCGCAAGAACACCAGUGGCGAAGGCGGCUCACUGGUCCGGUUCUGACGCUGAGGCGCGAAAGCGUGGGGAGCAAACAGGAUUAGAUACCCUGGUAGUCCACGCCGUAAACGAUGGAUGCUAGCCGUUGGCAGGCUUGCCUGUCAGUGGCGCAGCUAACGCUUUAAGCAUCCCGCCUGGGGAGU